rnacentral:rRNA from 1 species
UUAAGCGACUAAGCGUACACGGUGGAUGCCCUGGCAGUCAGAGGCGAUGAAGGACGUGCUAAUCUGCGAUAAGCGUCGGUAAGGUGAUAUGAACCGUUAUAACCGGCGAUUUCCGAAUGGGGAAACCCAGUGUGUUUCGACACACUAUCAUUAACUGAAUCCAUAGGUUAAUGAGGCGAACCGGGGGAACUGAAACAUCUAAGUACCCCGAGGAAAAGAAAUCAACCGAGAUUCCCCCAGUAGCGGCGAGCGAACGGGGAGCAGCCCAGAGCCUGAAUCAGUGUGUGUGUUAGUGGAAGCGUCUGGAAAGGCGNGCGAUACAGGGUGACAGCCCCGUACACAAAAAUGCACAUGCUGUGAGCUCGAUGAGUAGGGCGGGACACGUGGUAUCCUGUCUGAAUAUGGGGGGACCAUCCUCCAAGGCUAAAUACUCCUGACUGACCGAUAGUGAACCAGUACCGUGAGGGAAAGGCGAAAAGAACCCCGGCGAGGGGAGUGAAAAAGAACCUGAAACCGUGUACGUACAAGCAGUGGGAGCACGCUUAGGCGUGUGACUGCGUACCUUUUGUAUAAUGGGUCAGCGACUUAUAUUCUGUAGCAAGGUUAACCGAAUAGGGGAGCCGAAGGGAAACCGAGUCUUAACUGGGCGUUAAGUUGCAGGGUAUAGACCCGAAACCCGGUGAUCUAGCCAUGGGCAGGUUGAAGGUUGGGUAACACUAACUGGAGGACCGAACCGACUAAUGUUGAAAAAUUAGCGGAUGACUUGUGGCUGGGGGUGAAAGGCCAAUCAAACCGGGAGAUAGCUGGUUCUCCCCGAAAGCUAUUUAGGUAGCGCCUCGUGAAUUCAUCUCCGGGGGUAGAGCACUGUUUCGGCAAGGGGGUCAUCCCGACUUACCAACCCGAUGCAAACUGCGAAUACCGGAGAAUGUUAUCACGGGAGACACACGGCGGGUGCUAACGUCCGUCGUGAAGAGGGAAACAACCCAGACCGCCAGCUAAGGUCCCAAAGUCAUGGUUAAGUGGGAAACGAUGUGGGAAGGCCCAGACAGCCAGGAUGUUGGCUUAGAAGCAGCCAUCAUUUAAAGAAAGCGUAAUAGCUCACUGGUCGAGUCGGCCUGCGCGGAAGAUGUAACGGGGCUAAACCAUGCACCGAAGCUGCGGCAGCGACGCUGAUGCGUUGUUGGGUAGGGGAGCGUUCUGUAAGCCUGCGAAGGUGUGCUGUGAGGCAUGCUGGAGGUAUCAGAAGUGCGAAUGCUGACAUAAGUAACGAUAAAGCGGGUGAAAAGCCCGCUCGCCGGAAGACCAAGGGUUCCUGUCCAACGUUAAUCGGGGCAGGGUGAGUCGACCCCUAAGGCGAGGCCGAAAGGCGUAGUCGAUGGGAAACAGGUUAAUAUUCCUGUACUUGGUGUUACUGCGAAGGGGGGACGGAGAAGGCUAUGUUGGCCGGGCGACGGUUGUCCCGGUUUAAGCGUGUAGGCUGGUUUUCCAGGCAAAUCCGGAAAAUCAAGGCUGAGGCGUGAUGACGAGGCACUACGGUGCUGAAGCAACAAAUGCCCUGCUUCCAGGAAAAGCCUCUAAGCAUCAGGUAACAUCAAAUCGUACCCCAAACCGACACAGGUGGUCAGGUAGAGAAUACCAAGGCGCUUGAGAGAACUCGGGUGAAGGAACUAGGCAAAAUGGUGCCGUAACUUCGGGAGAAGGCACGCUGAUAUGUAGGUGAAGUCCCUCGCGGAUGGAGCUGAAAUCAGUCGAAGAUACCAGCUGGCUGCAACUGUUUAUUAAAAACACAGCACUGUGCAAACACGAAAGUGGACGUAUACGGUGUGACGCCUGCCCGGUGCCGGAAGGUUAAUUGAUGGGGUUAGCGCAAGCGAAGCUCUUGAUCGAAGCCCCGGUAAACGGCGGCCGUAACUAUAACGGUCCUAAGGUAGCGAAAUUCCUUGUCGGGUAAGUUCCGACCUGCACGAAUGGCGUAAUGAUGGCCAGGCUGUCUCCACCCGAGACUCAGUGAAAUUGAACUCGCUGUGAAGAUGCAGUGUACCCGCGGCAAGACGGAAAGACCCCGUGAACCUUUACUAUAGCUUGACACUGAACAUUGAGCCUUGAUGUGUAGGAUAGGUGGGAGGCUUNNNNNNNNNNNNNNNNNNNNNNNNNNNNNNNNGAAGUGUGGACGCCAGUCUGCAUGGAGCCGACCUUGAAAUACCACCCUUUAAUGUUUGAUGUUCUAACGUUGACCCGUAAUCCGGGUUGCGGACAGUGUCUGGUGGGUAGUUUGACUGGGGCGGUCUCCUCCUAAAGAGUAACGGAGGAGCACGAAGGUUGGCUAAUCCUGGUCGGACAUCAGGAGGUUAGUGCAAUGGCAUAAGCCAGCUUGACUGCGAGCGUGACGGCGCGAGCAGGUGCGAAAGCAGGUCAUAGUGAUCCGGUGGUUCUGAAUGGAAGGGCCAUCGCUCAACGGAUAAAAGGUACUCCGGGGAUAACAGGCUGAUACCGCCCAAGAGUUCAUAUCGACGGCGGUGUUUGGCACCUCGAUGUCGGCUCAUCACAUCCUGGGGCUGAAGUAGGUCCCAAGGGUAUGGCUGUUCGCCAUUUAAAGUGGUACGCGAGCUGGGUUUAGAACGUCGUGAGACAGUUCGGUCCCUAUCUGCCGUGGGCGCUGGAGAACUGAGGGGGGCUGCUCCUAGUACGAGAGGACCGGAGUGGACGCAUCACUGGUGUUCGGGUUGUCAUGCCAAUGGCACUGCCCGGUAGCUAAAUGCGGAAGAGAUAAGUGCUGAAAGCAUCUAAGCACGAAACUUGCCCCGAGAUGAGUUCUCCCUGACUCCUUGAGAGUCCUGAAGGAACGUUGAAGACGACGACGUUGAUAGGCCGGGUGUGUAAGUGCAGCGAUGCGUUGAGCUAACCGGUACUAAUGAACCGUGAGGCUUAACCUU